GCAGAGCCUAGACAAGAGUUACAUCACCUGGGUGAUCAGGGCAGAGAUAUGUCACAAUGCCCCCUGUAGGCAGAGCAUAGAGAAGAGUUGCAUCACCUGGGUGAUCAGUGCAGAGAUAUGUCACAAUGUCCCCUGUAGGCAAAGCCUAGGCAAGAGUUACAUCACUUUUGUCAUCAGUUCAGAGAUAUGUCAAAACGCCCCUGUAGGCAGAGCCUAGACAAGAGUUACAUCACCUAGUUGAUCAGUGCAGAGAUAUUUCACAAUACCCCCUGUAGGCAGAG
rnacentral:lncRNA from 1 species